GGGGGAAUUUUUGCGCAAUGGGCGAAAGCCUGACGCAGCGACGCCGCGUGAGGGAUGAAGGUCCUCGUGAUCGUAAACCUCUGUCAGGAAGGAUUAAAUGUAUAGUAGUUAAUAACUGCUAUGC
rnacentral:rRNA from 1 species